UACGAAGGGUGCAAACGUUGCUCGGAAUUAUUGGGCGUAAAGGGCUCGUAGGCGGUCCAUCGCGUCGGGAGUGAAAAGCUGGGGCUCAACCCCAGUCCUGCUUCCGAUACGGGCAGACUAGAGGUAUGCAGGGGAGAACGGAAUUCCUGGUGUAGCGGUGAAAUGCGCAGAUAUCAGGAGGAACACCGGUGGCGAAGGCGGGCUACUGGGCCGAUACUGACGCUGAUGCGCGAAAGCCAGGGGAGCGAACGGG
rnacentral:rRNA from 1 species